rnacentral:rRNA from 1 species
UACAUGGGGUGCAAACGUUGCUCGGAAUUAUUGGGCGUAAAGCGCGCGUAGGCGGUUACUCAAGUCGGAUGUGAAAGCCCUCGGCUUAACUGAGGAAGUGCACCCGAAACUGAGUAGCUAGAGUACUAAAGAGGGUCGCGGAAUUCCCGGUGUAGAGGUGAAAUUCGUAGAGAUCGGAAGGAACGUCGAUGGCGAAGGCAGCCACCUGGCUUAAUACUGACGCUGAGGCGCGAAAGCGUGGGGAGCGAACAGG